rfam:Alligator mississippiensis ScZkoYb_1049, whole genome shotgun sequence.
GCUCCAGUGGUGCAAUGGGUCAGCACGUGGUACUUAUACUGCAGUACUAGUGAAGCAAUGCCAAGGUUGUGAGUUCGAGCCUCACCUGGAGCA